GACGAACGCUGGCGGCGUGGAUUAGGCAUGCAAGUCGAACGGUAUCAUCCUUUCGGGGGUGAGAGAGUGGCGAACUGGUGAGUAACACGUAGGUUAUCUACCCUCAAGACGGGGACAACCCAGGGAAACUUGGGCUAAUACCGGAUGUGAGCAACUUUUAGUUGUUUGAAAGGUGGCGUAAGCUGUCGCUUGGGGAUGAGCCUGCGUCCUAUUAGUUAGUUGGUGAGGUAACGGCUCACCUAGGCAAUGAUAGGUAGGCGGCCUUAACGGGUGGUCGCCCACACUGGGAUUGAGAUACGGCCCAGACUCCCACGGGAGGCAGCAGUCGAGAAUAGUCUACAAUGGUCGGAAGACUGAUAGUGCGACGCCGCGUGAACGAUGAAUCCCUUCGGGGUGUAAAGUUCUUUUAUAUGUGAGCAGUGCUUCUUAUAUUAACAGUAUGGGGAGAGAGAUAUUAGCAUAUGAAUAAGCAACGGCUAACUCCGUGCCAGCAGCCGCGGUAAACUCGU
rnacentral:rRNA from 1 species